UGGUGGAGUGAUUUGUCUGGUUAAUUCCGAUAACGAGCGAGACCUCAGCCUACUAAUUAGCUAGGGGAAUCUUCGGAUUUCUCAACCAACUAGCUUCUUAGAGGGACUAUCGGUUUCUAGCCGAUGGAGGUUUGAGGCAAUAACA
rnacentral:rRNA from 1 species